AUUGAACGCUGGCGGCAGGCCUAACACAUGCAAGUCGAACGGUAACAGGAAGCAGCUUGCUGCUUUGCUGACGAGUGGCGGACGGGUGAGUAAUGUCUGGGAAACUGCCCGAUGGAGGGGGAUAACUACUGGAAACGGUAGCUAAUACCGCAUAACGUCGCAAGACCAAAGAGGGGGACCUUAGGGCCUCUUGCCAUCGGAUGUGCCCAGAUGGGAUUAGCUAGUAGGUGGGGUAACGGCUCACCUAGGCGACGAUCCCUAGCUGGUCUGAGAGGAUGACCAGCCACACGGGAACUGAGACACGGUCCAGACCCCUACGGGAGGCAGCAGUGGGGAAUAUUGCACAAUGGGCGCAAGCCUGAUGCAGCCAUGCCGCGUGUAUGAAGAAGGCCUUCGGGUUGUAAAGUACUUUCAGCGGGGAGGAAGGGAGUAAAGUUAAUACCUUUGCUCAUUGACGUUACCCGCAGAAGAAGCACCGGCUAACUCCGUG
rnacentral:rRNA from 1 species